rnacentral:rRNA from 1 species
UACAGAGGUCUCAAGCGUUGUUCGGAUUCAUUGGGCGUAAAGGGUACGUAGGCGGCGCGGUAAGUCGGGUGUGAAAUCUCGGGGCUUAACUCCGAAACUGCAUUCGAUACUACCGUGCUUGAGGAACUGGAGAGGAGACUGGAAUUUACGGUGUAGCGGUGAAAUGCGCCAGAUAUCAGGAAGAACACCCGUGGCGAAGGCGGCUCUCUGGGGACGGUACUGGACGCUGAGACGGCGAAAGCGUGGGGAGCGAACAGG